rnacentral:lncRNA from 1 species
AACUUCUAUUACAGGUAGACUUCAGCCGAGCUUCUUCGUAACCUGAUCCCAGACGAGCUUCUAUAAUGGGACAGGACCCACCGGCCAGGUUGCUCUCCGAACUCCCACGACAACCGACCUUCGACCGAGCUUCUACAAUAAGCAGUCUCCUUUCAGCCUUCUAUAAAAAUCAGACUCCAUUCGAACUUCCAUAGCGGAUGG